rnacentral:tRNA from 1 species
GAGGGUAUAGCUCAGUGGUAGAGCAUGUGCUUAGCAUGCAGAGGUCCUCGGUUCAAUCCCCAGUACCUCCA